rnacentral:misc_RNA from 1 species
GAUGAAGAACGUAGCGAAAUGCGAUAAGUAAUGUGAAUUGCAGAAUUCAGUGAACCAUCGAAUCUUUGAACGCACAUUGCGCCCCUUGGUAUUCCGAGGGGCAUGCCUGUUCGAGCGUCAUUAUAACCCUCAAGCUCAGCUUGGUGUUGGGGCCUGCUGCACUGCCAGCCCUUAAAAUCAGUGGCGGCGCCAUCUGGCUCUAAGCGUAGUAAUUCUUCUCGCUAUGGAGUCCUGGUGGAUGCUUGCCAUCAACCCCCAAUUUUUCUAUGGUUGACCUCGGAUCAGGUAGGGAUACCCGCUGAACUUAAGCAUACAAUAAGCGGAGGA